GGAGGGCGGGGCAGGGGCGCGGGGAUGGCCCCCGGCGGGGAGAGGGACCUGGGCCCGGCGAGGCUGACGGCCCGGCCGGCGCGUCGGGUCCCGCCGCUCCGCACCCCGGGGCCUCUCUGCCGCAGCCAAGGUGGGAGGAGCCUACACUUUCCUCCUGAAAAUAACACGCAAAUAAGUGGAUCUUAAUGAGCGCCACCGUCCCCUCCCCCACCCCGGCGGAAUCAGCCUGUCCCUGCCUCCCACCGCCCCAAACCAGGCUCGGAAGGAGGGGUGCAGGCGCUGCCCUAGCUGACCCCCCCGCACUGAGCCGGCGGCUGGGCACACGGGAGGGUGGGCAUGCCCUGCCCGGUGGCCGUCUGGGGCGACCAGGGCUGACAGUGCCCGCGUCCCCUCCGGUCCCAGAGGAGGCAGAGGCGCCCCCCAGGCCUCUCCCCACAGAUGCGCAGGAUCUGGGGAGCGUGAGUCAUGGCUGGAGGGAACAGACUUGCCGCCUGGCCUGCGCACCUUUUACUCCGAGGGACCCGCCUGCAGACACCAACACGGUGGUCACCACGCCGUGCCCACCGUGCCCGCAGGGCAGCCCUGGCCCAGGCCCCGCGGCGUCCUGGUGUUUCCUUGGAUGGCCUGAAAACCGCUUCUCAUACUGGGAGGCCACGAGAAUGUGCACAAACUGCAUUUUGAGUUUUACUUUGGAAACGUGGUGGGAUAAGAGGGUUUUAAGGUCCUUUAAGAUUUAAGGGACUUUCAUAGCCUCCCUGGCAUCCCAAGAGUUCUUUUUAAGAACUGGGCUCCGAACAGCAGAAGUCAGGCGCGUUGGAAAGGCACCACCCUACUGACGCCAUGGACCCAUGGGCUGCAAGGCCCACUCCACCAGGCCCGGCCCCUUGGGGACACUGUCUCCCUGGGACUCUGAUGUCGUUUCCGGUGGCGAGUGCCUGCUGGGCUGUUGUGAACUUGCCCGGCCCUUAGCAUUGGUUUUUCCGGAGCAUCCCGUCGGAGGGCUGAGCAAGGAGCCUGGAAAGUAAUUUGGGAAACAUGCCCACAAAGGCCCCCCGUUCGCUGCUUCUGGGGAAGUUCUCCAGGCCCUCAGCCUAGUUGGCUUUGCUUUUGAAAGAA